GGGGAAUAUUGCGCAAUGGGGGAAACCCUGACGCAGCAAUGCCGCGUGCGUGAAGAAGGUUUUCGGGUCGUAAAGCGCUUUUAUUGAGGAGGAAAGAAAGGCGUUGCCCAAGAAGAAAGGCCUGGUUAAAUACGCACCAGCAGCCGCGGUAAUACGUAGGGGACAAGCGUUGUCCGGAUUUACUGGGCGUAAAGGGCACGCAGGCGGUUUUUUAAGUCAGAUGUGAAAGGUACCGGCUCAACCGGUGACAUGCAUUUGAAACUGAAAGACUUGAGUAUUGGAGAGGCAAGUGGAAUUCCUAGUGUAGCGGUGAAAUGCGUAGAUAUUAGGAGGAACACCGGUGGCGAAGGCGGCUUGCUGGACAAAUACUGACGCUGAGGUGCGAAAGCGUGGGGAGCAAACA
rnacentral:rRNA from 1 species